GGAAUCUUCCACAAUGGGCGAAAGCCUGAUGGAGCAACGCCGCGUGUGUGAUGAAGGGUUUCGGCUCGUAAAACACUGUUGUAAGAGAAGAAUGACAUUGAGAGUAACUGUUCAAUGUGUGACGGUAUCUUACCAGAAAGGAACGGCUAAAUACGUGCCA
rnacentral:rRNA from 1 species